rnacentral:lncRNA from 1 species
CCAUGAGAAAAACAGAGAAGCAUUUGCAGACAUUUCAUCAGAUCAAACCUUGACCUUCUCAAGUAUCUGUAUUAUCAUGCAGUACAAACAUAUGCAACUGCCUAAUGCAUAAAAAUUACAGUUAUAAUUCUGUAGUUUAACCAUGAAAUAUACAUAAAAAUAAAAAAUGAAGCCAUUAGAACUUGCGGAAGAUCUUAUAAGGUGGCUCAUAAUAGCAACAAUACAUUUCGUGUAUGUGAUCUGGAAAGUGCAUUUAGCAUGAGAAAGAAAACGAUUAAUGAAAAGAGCAAAAGAGACGUCAACACAAUGAUUCAUAAGUACAUUUAGCAUGUCACGUUCUAAAUCAAAUUUCUCAUACGGGCAAUUUGAUAACAACCUAUCAUGUGCAUCCUUUGUAGUGCAAUGGUACACAACAGAUGUGAUUACUUAAAGAAAAUAAAAAUCGAACAUCAUGAAUAGCGAUGCAAACUAAUUUAUUCACAUUAGAGAAAUAAUCCAAAUUUAAUAAAUGAAAGGUAAGGCAACAAUUAAUAAUCCAAACCAAAAAAGGUCAAUCCAAAAGCUGAUAUGCUAAAAAAUCUAAACUACUCGAGAUUUAUAAAACACGUAGCCAUACACUUGGAUAUUAUCGACUUUGUGGCUUCAAUCACAAUUCUCUAAAUUCCGGCAGAGGAUUUAGGGGGAAAAGAUGCAACUUCGAGAACGUAACAUAUCGAUUGAAGGCGCCAGGUAUUAGUGAAACAAACAAGAUCAUUAACUAAUGAAGGCUCGCCAACGUCGAUUUCCAUGAGUAAUAACGGAGAAAGGACAGAUUUUAACCAGAUCCCGUUACACAUCCGUGCAGCCAAAUUUUCUAGAGUCAAGAUCGGGAUACAUCACUAAAAGAAACGAAUCAAUCGGCCAAAAAGCCCCACUUUUGACACCAAAAGGAAAAGAAUACAGCGACGAUAAAACCACCAUACCUUCCACAAAGCUGUAAAACUCUUACAGUUAGUGAUUUCUUUUGGUGUCCAAAACCUAUCAAUAGAAUUUUGGAUGACCAAUUUAGGAGACACCGAAUAAAAUCUAAAACGAUCAAACAACCAAAAAAAUCUCAAAAGAAAAAGUGGAAAAAGCACCUCGAUAUCGAUUGAAUGCAGGAGGGCGGUCUCGGAAGCACGAUUCACCGACUCGCCAACGGGUAAGGAGGGCAGAGAGAGAGAGAGAGAGAGAGGCUGAAGGCGAUCGAGCUCCGACGACAAACACGUCCGAGUUUCACACCGAUCUCUCUCGCUUUUAUCGCGACCAAGCCAAAGAAAAGGGAAAGAAGGCUCGCAUGGAACGAAUAAAGGAACGAUCGGGGUGAAUUCUAGAACCGUGGGGAAGGUUUCUCUAGGGAGAGAGAGAUCCUCUCCAACUCGCAAUGUAAUUUGACGUUUUCAGUUCCCAAUCGCUCCGUUCAUCC